rnacentral:rRNA from 1 species
GACGAACGCUGGCGGCGUGCUUAACACAUGCAAGUCGAACGGUGAAGCGCCUUCCUUUUUGGUGGGUGUGGAUGAGUGGCGAACAGGUGAGUAACACGUGAGUAACCUGCCCCCUUCUUCUGGAUAACCGCAUGAAAGUGUGGCUAAUACGGGAUAUUCUGGGUCUGUCGCAUGAUGGGUCUGGGAAAGAUAUUGUUUCGGUGGGGGAUGGGCUCGCGGCCUAUCAGCUUGUUGGUGGGGUGAUGGCCUACCAAGGCGGUGACGGGUAGCCGGCCUGAGAGGGUGGACGGUCACACUGGGACUGAGACACGGCCCAGACUCCUACGGGAGGCAGCAGUGGGGAAUAUUGCACAAUGGGCGCAAGCCUGAUGCAGCGACGCCGCGGGAGGGAUGGAGGCCUUCGGGUUGUGAACCUCUUUCGCCAGUGAAGCAGGCCUGCCUCGUUUGUGGGUGGGUUGACGGUAGCUGGAUAAGAAGCGCCGGCUAACUACGUG